CCUCAUUAGCUAGCUAAGGUUCAAUACCUGCCACCCACGACUUAAAGGAGGAAAGAUUUCUUUGGCUCACAAUUUCCAGUGGAUUCAGUCCAGAGGUGGCAGACUUUAGGGCAGAAACACAUGGUGGAAGGAAGGUGGCAGCCAGCGAGAAGCAGAGCGAGAAGGAAAGGGCUAGGGGCGGAGAAGACACCCUUCCGGGUCCUAUCCCCAGCCCGGCCCCUUCUGGCCACACCUCACCUUUGCAGUGAGACCUCUGGGGGGUGUCUCGCAGCUGAGCCAUAGCUCCCCUUUUCUGGAUGGUUCCCUGAAUGAUUCUGAUUGUUACCUGAGAUCCUCACCCUGGCCAGGUGUUUCUUACUAAGACUCUGGCCUUGAACAGCUGCAGACCAAGGGUCUGAAGCCAGAAGCCCCCAGCAGCCCUGGCACUCUAUUCCAAAGUUCAGGAUGCACUGAAGAAGGCCAAGAGCUUCUGUGAGUCUCAGGAAUUACAGUUUAUUCAGAGGCUGACUGUGCAGCUGCUGAUUGGAGUACAAAGAGCAGUAAUCAAGGCCAGGGAAACCACGUGAGGUCUCAGCUGCAGCGAAGAACGUGUAUCCUGACGAUGUUACCCAGGACUGGACAACGACCCAGGGCAGGUCCAUGGGCUCACCGGAUAGGUGGUAGGAUAUGACUCCACUGUAAGUUUAGGAACAUCUUCCCUGGCAAAUAGGAGCCCUACAUUUCUACUUCUGGAAGUAACAGCCAAGACCCUCCCAGAGGACUCAGCUCCUGCAGAACAACCACAAAAUCUGAACAGGACACAGAAGCAACUACCCGCAGCGCUGGGGAACAGCAGGGGCAGAUGGCUUUGCAGAGGUGGCGAACCUGUGUAAGACCGAGGGCCUUACCAAACGCUCUGAGGAGCUGACUGCAGGGAAGAACACCUGGGAAGGAACACACCGGACAAGUUGGAAAGUAAAACAGACCUUAGUCUGGCCAGACUGCACUCCCAAAGCAAAGUAGCUUAGAGAGGCGACUAGCCCAGAGUCCAAGGCUCUUUUUUGCAGGGGAAGUUAACAGGCGAAAUUUACAGAAGAGGAACAAAGGUUAGUGGUCAGCUGACACGUACUGAUGGUCAGCAGAUGUUUGUAGAUUGUUCUAUAGAUAGCGGUGUCCGGAACAUCAGUUUCGAACAAAGAGUUGAGUAAUUUACUUUGGGACCUUAUGGCUGAUACAGAUCUUAUCUAGUGUCCUGGAACUAACAAGCAUCUUUAUCUAUUUACUCACAUUUACAGUUGGGGCUAGGGGAGUUUUAUGAUUACAGAGUUAUGCAGUCCCCCACCUGUGGCACGCAUGCCACAGUGGGCCAUGUGUUAUUACCAAAAGCUCUAAAAGGUUCACCAUCACUGGCUCCUAGUGAAGACCGUGAGCUGUCGGGAGGGAGAGGAGGGUCACAACUCAGUCAGUCCCCAUGCCCAGGUCUUAGCUGGAGGCCAAGAGAAGCCUGCACUCGGUGCACACGGCAAUACCAGGGACAGACACGAAAAACACCUGCAGCCUGAUUUUUUCUGAAAAAUCAGAAAAGUGGACACUUAAAAGAGAAAGAGACGCUUACAAGGGGAAAAGAGAGAAGAUCCCAACUCAGCCUUCCCACGUCUCUGACUGAACCCUGACCCAAGUACCAUGGAGCAGACACAAAAUGGCUCAGCUGAAGACAGCAGCAACCACAGAAAUUCCAAACCGAGACUUCCAUCCAAGAAAAAGAGUGUGCGUUCAGGUCGAGCGGAGACUGAUAUCUGCUAACACAGAGGAAAAAGACUCCUUAGAGAAAAGAAAAAUCCAGAAUCUCCACAAACUAACUUUCAUAAUACUCAGGACACAAUCCAAAAUUACACGAUAUGGAAAAAAAAAAACUAGGAAACAUUCUUAACAGAAAAAAAUUCAACCAAGCCCAACCUUAUAAUGAACCAGAUGUUGGACCUAACAGAAAAGGAUUUUGAAUUUGCUCUUCUAACUCCCCUCAGGGAAAGAGCACAACCAUGAUUUCAAGGACUACAAACACCAGCAGAGAAAUGAAAGUCUGAACAAGGAAACAGAAACAGCAAAGAGGAAACAAAUAGAAACAAAGAACCAAACUUAAAAAAAUACAAUUUCGUAAAUAAGAAUUCACUUACUAGACUAAAAACUGAAUGACUGUGAUGGAUGAAAGAAUAAGAAAACGUGAAGAUCGAUCCACAGAAAUACACUAGGUGAAGAGGGGAGCAGAGAGGGAGAGGGAGGGGCAAGGACUGGAAAGAACCAGACCCUUAGUGAGCUGUGAGAUGACAUCAAAUGGUAAGUUAUAUGUGUAACUGGAACACCAGAAUAAGAGGGGAGAAAGAACAGAAAAGAAACGCUUGAAGGAAUAACAACUGAAAGUUUCCCAAAUUGGUCGAAAGACCAAAAGCUGCAGAUACGAGACAUAUUUCACAGAAGGAGGCCAACGUCAAGGCACAUCUGCUGGAAGCCGCUGUGGUCCAAGUGUGUCCCGAACAGGCUUUCUGUUGGAAAUGCAUUUGCCAGUGUGAUUAUGUUAAGAGGUGCAGCCUUUAGGAGGUGAUUCAGUCACGAAGGUGAAGCCCUCAGGGAUGACAUGAGGACCCUUACAAGAGUCCACUGGGUUUGUCCCCAUCGAUCUCUUCUGCCCUGUGACAACACAGUGUUUGCCACCUUUAUCAUUCUGUCUUCUACCAGGUAGGGGAACAGCAACAAGAUGCCUCCUGGAAGCAAGGAACAGACGCACAUGCCCCAAACCUGUACCUUGAUACAGAAGAACAACAAUCCAGUGUCAGCUGACUUUUCUCUAAAAACCAAGGAAAGCCAAAGAGAGUACAGCAACAUUUUUACAGUCCUGAAAUCAAAACAACAUCAAAAACAAAAAACCACCUGUCAACUCAGAGAAACUAUCACUUAAGAAUAAAUGUGUGGGCUGGUGUUCAGCUCAGUGACACAGCAAGUGCUUAGCACGUAUGGAGCCCUGGGUUCAAUUCCCAGUAACCCCACCUCCAAAGGCAAAAUAGAGAGAGACGUUUCAUUUAAAAGAAAAUUUAGAGGAUUGUUCACCAGCAAAUUGCCACUCUAAGAAAUGCUAAAAGAAAUUUCUUCAGAGGAAAAUUGAUACCAGUCAGAAUUCCAAGAUUUUCAGAAAACAAUGAAAAACAGGAAUGUAAAUACUUCGAUCAAUGCAAAAGAAGUUAUUUUGCCUUUUUCCCUUUACCUUUGUUUUCAUAAACAAUAACUGUUCAAAAAUUGUAAUAUGGUCUUUGUGGGUAUAAACCAACAGAAUUGUGACAUGCUGGUAUGCUCAUCAGACAGACCACAUUUGCUGGCCAUAAAACCCACCUCAAUACAUUUGAAAAGUUUGAAGUCCUGUAGGCCAAGUGCUCUGACCACAGAGGGAUUAAAUUAGAAACCAGUUACAAAGAGAAAACCAGGAAGAUUCCAAAUAUUUGGAAUUUAGUACACUUCUAAAUAAUUAUUGGGCCAAAGAGGAUUCCCAGGAAGUAUUAGAAAAUAUGUUAUUUAUAUAUAAAUAUGGUAAUGAAAAUAUACAUGUCAAAAUUUGUGGGAUAUAGACAAGGCAGAGCGUACAGGGGAAUUUAUAACUUUAAAUGUUUAUGUAGGAAAAGGAAGGUCUAAAAGUCAACCUAACCCCAAAGCCUAAAAUAGUACAAGAUAGCAUAAAAAGAAAUGGAAGUUAUACACAAAGCAAACAAAAAGAAGGAAAGAACUGAACAGAAAUCAAUAAAAUAGAAAAACAAUAACCGUGAAAGCUCUUUUUAUGUUUCUUUUUGGACCCGAAUUGAAUCUAAGGCGUCACACAUGCUAGGCAAGCUCUACCACUGAGCUACACCCCCAGGCUUUUUAUCUUGAGAUAGGAUCUCUCUAAAUUGCCCAGGCUGGCCUUGAACUUGCUGCACUGCACUGCUCCUGAGGAGCUGGGAC
rnacentral:lncRNA from 1 species